UCCAGCUGUAGGCAACUGUCUAGGUUGGCUUGUACCUAGACAAGUGUUGCACUGCUGGGAGAAAAGCAACUGGCAGCUGGUGGGCAUUCUGAACCUGGUUAAUGCCAAAUUUG
ensembl:snoRNA SNORA74 Small nucleolar RNA SNORA74